UAAGACGGGGGGCCCGUGGCCACCAAGGCGCCGCAGGACACACGGGUCCUGUCCCGAGGCUCAUUGCCCUGAAGCCCCUGCCCUGACAGUGGUGGAACGGCCUGGUAAGUUACCGCUACAAUUAGUGUCUGCUUUAUAGUUUCAGUUGCUGGCAAAGAAGGACACGGGAGCGCUUUCCAAAGAACCACCAGGGGUUGCUGGUGCUGCUGGGGCCUUGGUGGGGGGCUGGCAGGGGCUGCUGCCCAGCGGGCUCACACCUGCUUCCACUGCCCCCCGCCUGAGCACACGCUUUCACCCGUCCCCCGUUGCUUCUUCCCCUCAGGCAGAAUUCUCUAGAUCGAAUCACAGUGUCAUGAAAUGGCCAAAUCAACGCGGUUCAGCUUGGCAUGGGCUUGGCUGUCAGCAACAAAGAGACGGGACGAUUCCUGACCUCAAAGGAACAAAGUCUGUAACCCACUCAGGAACCAACACAGAGGUGAAGACAAAAAGAUGACUUUGCAUCAUUGCUCUUGGUCCUGGACUUUACCCUGUGUGCUCAUGGACUUCAGACCGGGAAUCCUGAGGCAGUGACUUGUAGUGGCUCAGACUGGAGCAACGUUUAAAAAUUAAGAACAACACUGUUGAUGUGGAAAUACCAUCAAUGAUAUAAGGCAGGCUUGCAAAAGAAACAAGUUUUAUUAUCUGCAGACAGAGGCAGCUUCGUUUUCAACUUUGCACGCUGAAAUCAUUUCGGAUUGCCAGAAUGUUGUUCAGACAGCUCGGAGGAUCCCGAAUCCCACCCCGCGACAGCUUCCCCAGUGUCAACAUUUCUGAAAACUAGGAGGCACGUGGGGACCUGCACGCCUGGCCCCUGCGGUUGGCUGGGGCCGCUGAGUUGUGAGGCUCGCCUGCAGGAGGACCUGAUGGCCAGCGUGAGGCCCCAGCGCCGUGGCUUCCUUUCUGCCGAAGCAACUAGCGAUGAGGCUUCCGACAGCGCGGGCUCCGUCCUCCCGGGGCUCCGUCCUCCCGGGGCUCCAUCCUCCCGGGGCUCCGUCCUCCGGGGUGAGGGCGGCCUGGAGCAGAGCCUGUCUGAACACUGAGGACGCGAAGCCUGCGCGAGACAGGAACCUUGAUGCUCUCAGAGACGUCUGCUGCACAGUGUGGCCCCGCGUGUCCCGAGAGCUGCAGCGCUGUAAGGAAUGACUUUCCCAGAGGUCAUCCGUGUGCUUCUGGCCAGACGCCUGGGAGGCUCUCCAGUGCCCCUGGAUUUCAGCCAAGCGUUUGGCGCUUGGUCCCCACCCCACCCCCCCGAAUCUCCCCCAGCUUCUUCCUGUUUCCUCGCCCUCCCGCCGCCUACCUGCCCCUCGCCUCACACUCCACUCCGGCCAUUGCUCGCUCUCGUUUCUGGAGACUUUAUCCAUUGUCUUGGCUUCAAGUCAGAUUCCAACUCUAAUUCCGUGUUCUCUCUGUUCAUACAACUUCUCCGCAGCUCAGGGUGACCCGAAGCAGACUUAUCUCGUCUCCAGACUGCUACUCUCGGCCGCCUCCCUGUCCCUGCCGGCGCCUCUGCUCCCCCAAAAACCUGGAACUCGGGGCGCCCUCCUCCUCCCUUCCUCCACGUGGGCCCAUCAGCCAGGAGGUUCUGCUGAGAACAGACCCCUCUCCUUCCAGCUCCUCCGCACCAGUGCCCGCAACGGCUCAGGACGAGCUAGCAGACCUGAGCUCCCCUCGGAGUCUCUCGAUCCGUCCCGCGCCUCAGCCCCAGCCCUGGCUCCCGAGCAUCCGCCUCCCUCUCGGUCUCCUGGACCGCGUCCUGCCUUCCUCCCCCGUCAGGUGGGGCUCAGGCGUCUCUGUCUGUGUCCGCUCCGCUCGACGUCAGGCACUGAGCUUCCGUCUCCAGUCUUCUCGCCCUCUCCCUGCGUGGCCACCUCGCUGCGAAUGGUGGACGCGUUCACCCCGUGGUCCCAGCCUCCCGGCCCAUCCUUCAUCUGUUAUCGGCACCAUGACGCUGGAGGAAGGUGCCUCCCCACUGUGUGUGAUUCUGGUGGGGUGUCUACCAGGGGCGGCAGUGGCCACAUCAGUUACGUGUGAUACAGGAGACUUCGUCUUCUAGUCUUCCUAGCAGAGUCCCUGGGUGUGCCCGUCGUCCCGACAGAAUCACCAACAGCGCCCCGUUUUCACUCCUGGAAGCGUCUCAGCAUCACGUGUUGCCACCUCACACGUGACCCACGAAAGCACGCCAGCGUCCACCCUGGGACUCUGGCACGGACGCGGGGAGACAGUCGCUCACUGCUGGCAGCUCUGUCCCCCCCCCAACAGAGUGGAGGGGCUUUCAGAGGCGAGGGCGUCCAGGGCCCCAUCUGAGUUCCUGGAUCCGAGCACAUCUCGAGGCCAGGAGCCUAUAGACUCCCCUUUGGGGAAAGUCUGUUUUGAGGGGGUUCCCGUCACCCGCAGUCAGGAGUCCUGCUGACACAGCUCUGGCUCGGGCAGCCCUCCCCUCCGCAGCCCACCACCCCACCUCCGAGGGCCGGCAGGAGCCCCCACGCGUGAGCCCUUCCUAGACAUUUGGCGUCACUCUCUCAGGCUCGCCCUGGGACGCGGUUCCCCGGAGUCCUAGUGACCGCCGCCUCCGGCCUGCAAGCUCGCACACACAGUGUCUAGACUUCAUGCCCCAUUGUUUCCGGAGGGGGCUCUUUUCUUCCUCCAGGAUGGAGACUGUAAGCUCAUGGGAAGAGACAGGGACCCAGCUGAAUCUUUCUUGUAUUUUCCUGAGGCCAAACAGGGUGCUGGGCACACAGCGGGCACCCAAUAAAUAUUUGUUGAGGAUAUGAAUUAUAAACUAAGGGUAAUAUUGACUGUGUCCAGGCCGAGGAGAGAGAGUCCUGGGGGAAACGGGCAGCGGAGAGUCGCCUGUUUAAGCAGCUGGACACGCAGGCGGGCAGGGAACAGGUUUCAUCCUUUCUUCAGUCAUAAUGGCUUCUCCUGCCUGUACCCCGCUUCCUUACCACAGACACCAUUCUGUCCCCUGGGCUCUUCACCCCACUUCAGCCUGCCUGCGCCCCUACCUCUGGGGCCGCUCCAAAGGCAACAGUGACCAACGUGUGACCGACAUGUCACAAAACAGAGACACGCAGGCUUCCCUCUGUCUCCCAGCAGCAGGAGGCAGGUGACCCGUGCUUCCUCCCAGGUUCUCUCUCCUCGCUCGGCUUCCACAAGGCUUUCCUCUCAUUCCCGGUCGGCUAGGCCUGCACAUCUUUCUCUGAUCUUUAAACGCUGGACUUUGCUAAGGCGGACCCUCUCCUCCUCCACGGGUGUCCUUUCCCGGGGCGAUCUCGGCACUUAUGGAUUUAAUUGCCAUCUUUAUGCUGUCGAUUUCCCAACGUUGUUUCUCCAGGUCAGACCUUUGCUCUGACUUCUACUCAUGUAUCCAUGUGCUUAUUUGCCAACUCUCCCCUUUUGUCCCAUAGCAGAUACCGAUACAUCCUAAAUUGAAACAUUUUUUUCCAAGUGUCAGUAAGAAUGCUUUGGCUACAGAAAAAACUGUCUCAGGUUACAAGCAGUCCAGAGGCAGGGAAAUUGAUGGUCAGCUCAACGUAAUCAACGACGCGGGUUCUCUCCACCUUUCUGCGCUGCUGUCUCUGUUUGACUUGAUCCUUAAGCUUUGCCCUUCGUGUUAACGAGAAGGCCACUAUUUUCAAGCAUCACAAAACAUUCUUCUGGAAGAGGCCUAUGUCCUAAUGGAUGUCUCUCUUUGAUUAGGAAGGAAAUCUUUUCCCAGAAGCCCCUCUCCCUGGACCACAUGCUGAUGCCCUGCCUACAAGGGGAGCAGUGAAGGUGGGUAAGGCUUCUGUGUUUCCAUGGUUUCUAUGGUGACUGUCAUCUCUGUCACCUAGACUGCAGCCACAGCCUCUUACCUGCUCGCCCAGCUUCUGCUCUGGCCUCUUCCCCAUCCGCCUGUCUGCCACAAACUGCGGAUGAACACGUUUUAAAAUACAGGGUGUGCAGCCAGUAUAACGUCAACGUGUUUUCUUUUCUCCAUCAAGACUAGGCCCUGGGACUUCGCUGGUGGCGCAGUGGUUAAGACUACACGCUCCCAAUGCGGGGGGCUUGGGUUCAAUCCCUGGUCAGGGAACUAGAUCCCACAUGCAUGCUGCAACUAAGAGUUCGCACGCCACAGCUAAGGAGCCCGUGAGCCGCAACUAAAGACCCAGUGCGACCAAAUAAAUAUUUUUAAAAACCCAAAAAAGGCUAGGCCCUGCAGUGACACUCAUGGCUGCACGGAAGGGUCUGUCUAGACCAA